rnacentral:misc_RNA from 1 species
GCCUUGAAAGAAACAGAUUUACUAAACUAAUAGACAGCAAAGGUUGACAAAAAGAAAAGACAUGCAAGAAAGUUUUCCAGGACAGCAAUGCUUUGCUAAGGUGGAAAAGGAUUCCACAAGCAGCCAUUUUACCAUUCAGAAUUGUCCUUUUUUUCCCCUUAAAAUAUGUAUUUCAUUUUCAAUAUUCAAGUGUACUUCAGUGACCCCUUGACUGCUAUCUGCCGUGCAGAAAUGUGUUGGUCAAGCUCAAGCAUCUUCACAAGGGUUUCAAUAAUUGUUUGGGUAUGUUCCUUGAAGAUGAACUUUAAAUUUUUAGGUUUCUUUAACCAACCCUUGAUUUAAAUGGUGAAGAGUCAUGCCCUUGACAUACCCCGGAAUCUAAUGAUCUACAAGCAGAAAAACAAGGUGAUAUAAAAUUUCCAACCUAAAUA